rnacentral:rRNA from 1 species
UACGGAGGGUGCGAGCGUUGUCCGGAAUCAUUGGGCGUAAAGGGCGCGUAGGUGGCUUCUUAAGCGUGCGGUGAAAGCCUGGGGCUCAACCCCGGGUCGGCCGUGCGAACUGGGGGGCUGGAGCACUGUAGAGGCAGGCGGAAUUCCGGGUGUAGCGGUGGAAUGCGUAGAGAUCCGGAGGAACACCGACGGCGCAGGCAGCGUCCUGGCCGCUUGCUGACACUGAGGCACGAAAGCUGGGGGAGCAAACAGG